AGCCAUUGCACCUAGCUGAGAGAAACUUAACAACUUCAGAAUACAUUCUACAUUCUUUGGAAGCUCAUGGGCAACAUGGACCCAAAGUGACCAUUAUGCUGAGCCAUAACUUCUGGCAAAUUUCAAGAAAUUGAAAUCAUACAUACUGUCCUCUUUCUGUGCUCCGACAAUAUACCUUAGAUCCUAGCCAGUAUGGUAACAGUAAAAAUAUGAAGACAAUACAGAUUAGAAAGAAAGCAAGCUUGCUUUAUUCACAAACAACAUGACCGGGUGGAAAAUCCCAAAGAAUCUACCAAAAAAGCUUCUAGAAUUAAGUGAUUUAGCAAGCAACAAAAUCCAGGAAGUAGAUAAAAGUUUUACAAAAUAUGUAAAAGGUCUGCUGAAAACUAUACAACAGAUAAAUCAAAAAGACCUUCAAAAAUAGAUGUACCAUGUUCAUGGAACACUUAGAAGUGGUUAAGGUAAUUUUUUUUUUUUUACUUCAAUUAAAAAAUUAAAGAGAUCGAGAAAACUGCUAACAAAAAGAAAGCUGGGAUAGCUCAAAGAAUUAAUAACAAAAUUAUUAGAGAUAAAGAGGGGCAUUAUAUAAUAAAGGGACCAAUUCUCCAUGAAAAUAACAAUUUUUAAUGUGUACACACCUAACAGAGCAUCCAAAUAUGUGGGGGCAAAAAUGGACAGAACUGCAAGGAGAAAUAAAUCUGCUGUUAGAGGCUUCACACAUUUCUCUCAAUAAUUGACAGAUCUAACAGGCAGAAAAUCCUUAGGAUUUUCUGAACAAUAGUCAACAGAAGAGUAAACAUACUUCUUAAGCUGACAUGGAGCACUGACCAAGGUAGACCAUAUUCUGGUCCAUCACACCUCAACAAACUUAAGUAUGCUCUUAGACACAAUGGGAUUAAACUACAAAUCAGUUAACAGAAAGAUAGCCGGAUAAUCUCCAAAUAUUUGGGGGUUUAACAUGUGGGUCAAAGAAGAAAUCUCAAGAGAAAUUAAAAAUAUUUUGAAGACAGUGAAAAUACAACUUGAUGGGAUGUGGUAAAAGCACUUGAGAGAAAUGUAUAGCAUUGAAUGCAGUUAGUAAUGAAGAAAGAUCUAAAACCUAAGCUUUCACUUUAGGAAAUUAGAGAAAGAAGAGUAAUAUAAAACUAAUGCAAACAGGAGAAAAAUAAAAAUUAGAGCAAAAAAAAAUGAUGUUGAAAAUAGGAAAAAGAAAAAUCAAUAAAGGAUAAAUCUCCGACCAGGCUAACAAAGAAAAAAGAAGACAUUGCUCAUAUCAGAGAGGCCAUCCCUAUUGAGAACAUGGGUAUUCAAAAGAUAAUAAAGGAAUAGGAUUAACAACUCUGCCCACAAAUUUGACAACAGAUGAAACGGAUCAGUUCCUUGAAAGGCACAAUCUACUAAAAUCCACACAAGGAGAAAUAGAUAAUCUGAGCCCAUAUAUACUAAAGAAAUUGAAUCAAUUUUCUGAAACAGAAAGCUCCAGACUGAGAUGAAUUCUACCAAACAUCUAAAGAAGAAAUGAUAUCAAUUCUCUAUAGUGUCUUCCAGAAGAUAGACGCCAAAGGAAUUCUUUCCUGCUCGUUGUAUGAGAACAGCAUUACAGAAGCAUCUCCC
rnacentral:lncRNA from 10 species